rnacentral:RNase_P_RNA from 1 species
GGAGCAGCACAGGUGGUCGCCCAAUAGUUCAGUCUAGGACAUUGGGAGGAAAGUCCGAGCUCCACAGGGCAAGGCGCUCCGUAACACGGAGUCUUCCGGGUAACCGGGAGAAGGAAAGUGCCACAGAAAGGGAAACCUCCUGACCGCCUCUGGCGGGAGCGAAAGCUCAGGCAGGAAAGGGUGAAAAGGUGUUCCGACACGUCGGGAUCCGCCGUUAUUCGGCGGAAGGUAAGAGCUCACCAGUGCUUUGGGUAACCGGAGCAGCUUGGUAAACCCCGCCUGGAGCAAGGCCGAAUAGGUUCUGCUGCGAGGGUGCCCCCCGAAUCCGCGUUCAUCGUGGAAGCAGAACGGGUUAGGCCGCAUGAGCCUGAUUGUAAGAUCAGGCCUGAGAUGAAUGACCACAGUCCCGAUUGUUCGGGAUAACAGAACUCGGCUUAUGUGCUGCUUCAGAU